GGUAAAAUGGCCGAUAAAGGUAAUAAAUUGUAAAUUUAUUUAUGAAUUAAGAAAAUUCUUUUACUA
rnacentral:tRNA from 1 species